GAUGAACGCUAGCUACAGGCUUAACACAUGCAAGUCGAGGGGAAACGGCAUUAAGUGCUUGCACUUUUUGGACGUCGACCGGCGCACGGGUGAGUAACGCGUAUCCAACCUUCCCAUGACUAAGGGAUAACCUGCCGAAAGGCAGACUAAUACCUUAUGGUCUUCACUGACGGCAUCAGAUGUGAAGUAAAGAUUUAUCGGUUAUGGAUGGGGAUGCGUCUGAUUAGCUUGUUGGCGGGGUAACGGCCCACCAAGGCAACGAUCAGUAGGGGUUCUGAGAGGAAGGUCCCCCACAUUGGAACUGAGACACGGUCCAAACUCCUACGGGAGGCAGCAGUGAGGAAUAUUGGUCAAUGGGCGAGAGCCUGAACCAGCCAAGUAGCGUGCAGGAUGACGGCCCUAUGGGUUGUAAACUGCUUUUGUAUGGGGAUAAAGUCAAUCACGUGUGAUUGUUUGUAGGUACCAUACGAAUAAGGACCGGCUAAUUCCGUGCCAGCAGCCGCGGUAAUACGGAAGGUCCGAGCGUUAUCCGGAUUUAUUGGGUUUAAAGGGAGCGUAGGCUGGAGAUUAAGUGUGUUGUGAAAUGUAGACGCUCAACGUCUGACUUGCAGCGCAUACUGGUUUCCUUGAGUACGCACAACGUUGGCGGAAUUCGUCGUGUAGCGGUGAAAUGCUUAGAUAUGACGAAGAACUCCGAUUGCGAAGGCAGCUGACGGGAGCGCAGCUGACGCUGAAGCUCGAAGGUGCGGGUAUCGAACAGG
rnacentral:rRNA from 1 species